rnacentral:lncRNA from 1 species
UUUUUUCUCUCUUUUCCUCCCCUAUCCCCUAAGAACAAAGUUAAAAACAAUAACAAGUGGCCGGAAUUCGAACAGGCAUUCACGGUCCCGCAAUAACCACAGGGCCAUGGGCUUGCUCAUGUGUUGUCACUGAACGCUCACAGCGAGCCUGGGGGUUAAGCAUUCUUACUCCGUUUGACAGAGAGGGGAGCUGGGGCCCAGUGAGAGCCAGUCCCUGUCUUACCUCCCGCGCCCCUGCCUUUAGAAGGAAAGUAUCUCCAGGGCACUCUUGGGGCAGGACGCCACACUCGCUGGGACCGUCGGGACCCCAGUGCCUUUACCCACGAGCCCGCCGGGGAACCAAGUCCCAAAGCGGGAAAGAGGCGACCUGGAUCUGGGUCCCUUUGUCUCCCCCACAGCCCAGUGCGGGGACUCAGCACACUCAGCUGAAUCCCGAACACCUCAAGGCAGGAGUCUGCACUUCACGCCAGGCCAUUUCUGUCUCUACCGUAAAGUCGUCACGGUCGCCAUAUUGACGUCAGGUUUCUAUGGCAACCAUGCCACGCAGGCUUAUCCUCCACACCGGAAACCCCUCCGCAUGCUCCUCCUCCCCUACGCCUUUAGCUGAACGCAAAACUUCUUCGCUCUUCAGGCUGCGGUCUGAGAAAGCAGGCUAUGAGAGGCGCUAGACUGGAAUCCUGGCAAUUGGAAUGACUUACUCAAGUAGUGAGAUUGGAAGGAGAAACAAAUUACAGAGCCCCGGACCUCUGCCUUCAAAACUCUUGUUGAUAAGUUGCCUUUAUGGAGCACCUGUUCUGCUUUGCCCUCGGAGGGCAGACUGUGAGAAAGGUAUCAUGAGUUCCACGUCACAGAUAACCAAGCUCAGCCUCAUGGAGACUAAGACCCUCACCAGAAAAUGGCAGAAGACUCAUCAUCAUGCCUUCUACUUCUCUUGGAAUUUGUGUUCACUGUGCCACAAGAUGAACUCAGAUACCAAGUUAGUAGGCACUCCUGAUGUGAACUCUCCAGGAGCACCCCAAAAGAGCAUCACGCUUGGCGUUUCAAACGUGGAAACAGCUUCGGACAACUUAACUCCAGGAGACGCAGCCUCUCUAAGAUGAAAGAUUCUCAAACUCAGUUGACGUCUGCAACCAACUUUCAGAAGAAAAGAACAAAGAACAAACUGAAAGAGGGAAGAUCGUGUAGUCCAUUGCCAUUGCCUUUCGGUAUUGAAUAGCUGCCUCCGGCUUUGCUCACAGAACCGUGGAUCUCCACACCAUCUGGCAUACGAGCAGAAAAUACAAAGAUACAGCGAAUUUCCUUGUCUCUGCCUCUGCAUAUUUUUGUCACAAUCUUCCUAGAAG